rnacentral:rRNA from 1 species
GGUGCAGCAGGCGCGAAACCUUUACACUGCACGACAGUGCGAUAGGGGGAUCCCAAGUGCACAGGCAUAGCGCCUGUGCUUUUCGGUACCCUAAGGCGGUACCAGAAUAAGGGCUGGGCAAGACCGGUGCCAGCCGCCGCGGUAAUACCGGCAGCCCAAGUGAUGGCCGAUCUUAUUGGGCCUAAAGCGUCCGUAGCUGGCCACGCAAGUCCAUCGGGAAAUCCACCUGCCCAACAGGUGGACGCCCGGUAGAAACUGCGUGGCUUGGGACCGGAAGGCGCGACGGGUACGUCCGGGGUAGGAGUGAAAUCCCGUAAUCCUGGACGGACCGCCGAUGGCGAAAGCACGUCGCGAGAACGGAUCCGACAGUGAGGGACGAAAGCCAGGGUCUCGAACCGGAUUAGAUACCCGGGUAGUCCUGGCCGUAAACAAUGUCUGCUAGGUGUGGCUCCCACUACGAGUGGGUGCUGUGCCGCAGGGAAGCCGCUAAGCAGACCGC